UACGUAGGGGGCUAGCGUUGUCCGGAUUUAUUGGGCGUAAAGAGCUCGUAGGCGGUUUGGUAAGUCGGGUGUGAAAGCUCCGGGCUCAACUCGGAGAGGUCACUCGAUACUGCCAUGACUCGAGUCCGGUAGGGGGUGUGGAAUUCCCAGUGUAGCGGUGAAUGCGCAGAUAUUGGGAGGAACACCAAUAGCGAAGGCAGCUCGCUGGGACGGUAUUGACGCUGAGGCGCGAAAGCG
rnacentral:rRNA from 1 species